UACAGGGGGGGCAAGCGUUGUUCGGAAUUACUGGGCGUAAAGGGCUUGUAGGUGGCCAACUAAGUCACACGUGAAAUCCCCAGGCUUAACCUGGGAACUGCGUGUGAUACUGGAUGGCUUGAAUCCGGGAGAGGGAUGCGGAAUUCCGGGUGUAGUGGUGAAAUGCGUAGAGAUCCGGAGGAACCCCAGAGGCGAAGGCGGCCCCCUGGCUCGUACCUGACGCUCAGCCACGAAAGCAUGGGGAGCGAACGGG
rnacentral:rRNA from 1 species